rnacentral:rRNA from 1 species
GAUGAACGCUAGCGGCAGGCUUAAUACAUGCAAGUUGAGGGGCAGCAUGAUAUACGCGAGUAUAUUGAUGGCGACCGGCGGACGGGUGAGUAAUAGGUAGGAGACCUACCUCAUACAGGGGGAUAGCAUAGAGAAAUCUGUGGUAAUACCCCAUGAGGUUAUAUGAAUAGAGGCAUAUAAUCAAAACAUAAGCGAUUAUGCGGUAUGAGAGGGGCCUACUGACCAUUAGCUAGUUGGUGAGGUAAGGGCUCACCAAGGCGAAGAUGGUUAGGGGUUUUGAGAGAGAGACCCCCCACAUUGGAACUGAGAGACGGUCCAGACUCCUACGGGAGGGCAGCAGUAGGGAAUAUUGGGCAAUGGGCGGAAGCCUGACCCAGCCAUGCCGCGUGAAGGAAGACGGCCUUAUGGGUUGUAAACUUCUUUACUAUGCGACUAACUAGAUUUACGAGAUAAUUCUAUAGAAUGUAGCAUAGCAAAAAGACACCGGA